ACAGACGAAAAUGGGCUGCUGGUACUGACAGGAGUGUGCUCAUUCGAGUUGUUUUAUAAUAUAACAGAGCUCUACACAGAAGCCCGCACACUCCAGUCAUCCCGCAGCUUCUGCAUAAGUGACGAUGACGCCGUGCUCUUAACUUUUAUGAAGUUGUAUCACGACGUUACGUUUUCGCUGUUGGCAGUACUCUUCGGUGUGCACCGAACAACAGUGUCGAACAUCUUUAAAGAGUCUAUUGUGAUACUCGCAAGCAUUCUCGAGCAUGCUGUCUUCUGGCCGGACAAAGACUCCGUGGUUAGCUGCCUAACAACCUAUUUCUGGGAAUACAAGGACACGAGGAUGGUGCUGGACUGCACAGAGAUAGAAAUCGAGAGGCCAAAAGACCUUAUGUCAAGGUUGCUCACAUACAGCCAUUAUAAACGAACAUACACGGCAAAGGUCCUAGUAAGUGAAACACCAGGAGGGCUAAUCAGUUACGUAAGCCCAGCAUAUGGUGGAAAAGCAUCGGACACAUUCAUCACAAAGCAGUCCCAGCUGCUGGACAGGUGUACUCCACAUGUCGACAGUGUGAUGGUGGACAAUGGGUUCCUGAUCAGCGAGCUGUGCAGAGAAAAAAAAUGUGCGAAUGAUCAGGCCUCCCUUCCUUAUGGAGAAACAGCUGACGACAGAAGAAGCCAGGUCCAACCAGUCUAUAGCCUGUGCACGUGUUCAUGUAGAGAGAGCAAUUCAGAGGAUGAAGAUCUACCGCAUUCUGAAAAAUCGGUUCGAUCUAGAUCUUGUGCCAUACAUAGACAAGAUCUUCACAGUGAUUUCUGGCAUGGUAAACCUUUCGAAGCCUCUGUUUAGCGAGGAUAAAUUCCUCUUCAAGUAGAAAUGCGGCUAGUGUGAGUGCCUGUCUGGCUUAAGUAUUCAGCAUGUAGGCUUAUUUUGACCAUGUUUCUUUUUAUGUAGACUGAGAUGAAAGAGUAUGGUAGUCCAUUACAAAAAUGGUUAAUCUUUUUAAUGACACACUCAAAUAACAGGGGAAUUAAUAAACAGAGUACAAAUGCAUCAAAAUAACUACCACACAGAGCAUCUAUCUUUAAGUAGUGCUCAAGAAUAAAUUUCAAACAGUAAAUAAUGUUGCAAAUAUUAGACAAACGUGUUUCCAGUCUUACAUCUCUUUCGUGCAUUUUCUUGUAAUAAAGAGUAUGAUUAUGCCUGCU